rnacentral:tRNA from 2 species
GUGGCCGUGGCCGACUGGUUACGGCGUUCGCUAUGUAAGCGAAUUGUCCUGGGUUCGAUUCCCAUCUGCUACC